AACGCACGAGACCUGCGGACCUGCGGAAGGAUCAUUAAUGAGUUGCAAAACUCCCUAAACCAUUGUGAACCUACCUGUACCGUUCCUUCGGCGGGCGGCGUCAAGCCCUAACCCGUCUCCCUUUACGGGGGAUGGACCCGCCGGAGGCUCCUAAACUCUUAACUUUUGUUGGCAUCUCUGAGUAAAUCAAAAUAAGUCAAAACUUUCAACAAUGGAUCUCU
rnacentral:misc_RNA from 1 species